UCCCGUUAAAGUGGCUAGCUUAGGGAUUGAGCCUAUAUCGGGUAUUGACUUUUGGAGCUCAGCUUGAGGAGAUGAAAUUAGUGGCUUGCUUUGAGAGCGCGGUGUAGAGUUCGUACGCUUUGUAAUAGAAUUUGCAACCCGAGAAUUUCUUAUGGUAUAGUUGAAUGGAUUAGAACUUAGACUGUUUUAUAGUUAGUUGUAAUCGGAUUAUUCCACCUUGUAUUUGGAUUGUAGAUAGAAACUUUAUAGCCUGUGCAUUUGGGUUUAGAAUAACCCAAGUGUGGCAUAACACCCCGUGUUGGUUUAGCUUCCGCAUAUUUUGAGAAAUAUUUUCUUUUUAUUCUUUA